CAGAGACAGAAACUUGCGGCAAUGGAGAAAAUGCUAAUACAGACAUCUUACUUCAGUGUCUGGCAAACGAGAUUAUUGAGGACGAUGUAGACGUCAGCUUCCCUGACGAGGGAAGCUGCAGCUUUCUGAUGAUUCCUGAAUCCUACAUUCUAUUAAUUUCCCCGAAGAGCCCUAUUGCCUAAUGGAACAUUGCGAGAAUGGUCAGUCUGGAAAGCAGGAUCAGUGGAGCUGGCUUCUGGCUCACUGGCUUUCAGCUGAGCCUUCCAAAUGGCUGGGAAUGAACAUCCAGUUAGAAGCCUCGGUUUGGA
rnacentral:lncRNA from 1 species